GAACAGGAAAAUUGAACUCCCUAUGGGAGACUCCAGCAGAGAUCAUCCCUCUACUGAUGAUCAAGCCAUGAAAGACCCAUCAGAUCCUAACACUGUUGUUAAGGUUGGGAGUAUACCUAUAUUUGUAACUUGUGCAUAGGUCUGUAUAGAUUUCUAUAUGCUUGGGUAAUCAUAACUUUAACUGUAAUAAAACUUGUAAAGCAGACUAGACCUUGUACUUGUGAAUGUAUGUGUGGUCACUACCUUUGGUCUUUAUGUGUUCCAAAACACUCCAAAUCUGAAGCAAGUAGCAGAGCUUGAUAUGGUAGCCAGCAG